rnacentral:rRNA from 1 species
UACGAAGGGGGCUAGCGUUGCUCGGAAUCACGUGGGCGUAAAGCGCACGUAGGCGGCUUUUUAAGUCAGGGGUGAAAUCCUGGAGCUCAACUCCAGAACUGCCUUUGAUACUGAGAGCUUGAGUCCGGGAGAGGUGAGUGGAACUGCGAGUGUAGAGGUGAAAUUCGUAGAUAUUCGCAAGAACACCAGUGGCGAAGGCGGCUCACUGGCCCGGUACUGACGCUGAGGUGCGAAAGCGUGGGGAGCAAACAGG